GUUGACACUGUCCUAUUCAAGGAGAUGGCAAAAAGAUGGCUGUGACAGAAAGGAUAAGCUUCUUUGAAGUCUUUGUUCAACAAGGCCCACCCCCUCUGGAUGGGAAGACGAGUGAUCAAGUGACAUCUACACCAGAUCUAGCAGUUGUCAUACCAAGGAUUCUGUUGUCCUUGAUGUCUUAUCCUUUCUCAGUGACGUAAAUAUGGAGUGCACAGAGAACAACUUUAUAUAGACUGAACUUAAGGACGCAUUCCAGAAGUACACCUAAUACGCUUCAGCCUCAAGUGAACAUUGAGACCAUGGGAUGAGAAGGGCUAAUCUGAAAUGAAAAUGCUGUCAAAUGGAUGUAACGUGGAUAUGAAGUUCUAUGCACCACUGUUUCAUUUUGUAAGUCUUCUCCUGCUAGGCCACAUUAUUUGCAAAUAUAGACAUGACCAGUGAAUCCAGGAUUGGUCUAUGUAUUCGUUGUUUUGAAAGGCACUGUGCUCUUUGGUGCUUUAGUAGCUUCCUUAAAAAACGUUGACUGUUGUGAUGGCUUACAGAAAUGGGGAGCAUUUCAGUCGAGAUUUAAUAUGAAAUUGAAAUUAUGAGAAGGAAAGAAAUACCUGAAAUUAAUUUGAGACUGUGAUUCAUCUUCUGAGUUUAAAAAUACUGUGGAUUAUAAUUUAGAGGGCUCUUGUAUGGAAUUGUUAUUACCAAGUACUGUGCUUGACUGGUUUAAAACAUAAAUGUCUUAGAGAAGAUGACAUUUUCAGGAUGCAUGUCUGCAGAACCAACUUAUCACCAUAAAUUAAAUGCUCUGCUUAGAGUUAAAUAGC